AGAAAAGCAGAGCCUGUUAUCAUUUUAAACUGGCCUUCGUAAACUUUAGGGAAACUGAAGUCAUUGUUAUUGGGUGAACCAUUUUGAAUAAUCAAUAGAAAAAUGGUUCAGUUAACAUUGAUACAUGA